AUUGAACGCUGGCGGCAGGCUUAACACAUGCAAGUCGAACGAGCGGCGGACGGGUGAGUAAUGUCUGGGAAACUGCCAGAUGGAGGGGGAUAACUACUGGAAACGGUAGCUAAUACCGCAUACCAUCAGAUGUGCCCAGAUGGGAUUAGCUAGUAGGUGGGGUAAAGGCUCACCUAGGAGACGAUCCCUAGCUGGUCUGAGAGGAUGACCAGCCACACUGGAAAUGAGACACGUGCCAGACUCCUACGGGAGGCAGCAGUGGGGAAUAUUGGACAAUGGGCGCAAGCCUGAUGAAGCCAUGCCGCGUGUAUGAAGAAGGCCUUCGGGGUGUAAAGCACUUUCAGCGAGGAGGCGUUACUCGCAGAAGAAGCACCGGCUAACUACGUGCCAGCAGCCGCGGUAAUUC
rnacentral:rRNA from 1 species